AGCGGAGCAUGUGGUUUAAUUCGAAGCAACGCGAAGAACCUUACCUAAGCUUGACAUCCCAAUGACAUCUCCUUAAUCGGAGAGUUCCCUUCGGGGACGUUGGUGACAGGUGGUGCAUGGUUGUCGUCAGCUCGUGUCGUGAGAUGUUGGGUUAAGUCCCGCAACGAGCGCAACCCUUGUCUUUAGUUGCCAUCAUUAAGUUGGGCACUCUAGAGAGACUGCCAGGGAUAACCUGGAGGAAGGUGGGGAUGACGUCAAAUCAUCAUGCCCCUUAUGCUUAGGGCUACACACGUGCUACAAUGGGUAGUACAGAGGGUUGCCAAGCCGUAAGGUGGAGCUAAUCCCUUAAAGCUACUCUCAGUUCGGAUUGUAGGCUGAAACUCGCCUACAUGAAGCUGGAGUUACUAGUAAUCGCAGAUCAGAAUGCUGCGGUGAAUGCGUUCCCGGGUCUUGUACACACCGCCCGUCACACCACGGGAGUUGGAGACGCCCGAAGCCGACUAUCUAACCUUUUGGAAGAAGUCGUCGAAGGUGGAAUCAAUAACUGGGGUGAAGUCGUAACAAGGUAGCCGUAUCGGAAGGUGCGGCUGGAUCACCUCCUUUCUAAGGA
rnacentral:rRNA from 1 species